rnacentral:piRNA from 1 species
AAAGCUAUGGAGAUGACUUGGAACA